rnacentral:lncRNA from 1 species
AAAAAAGUUAGCUGGGCGUGGUGGCAGGCGCCUGUAGUCCCAGCUACUCAGGAGGCCGAGACAGGAGAGAGAAUCGCUUGAACCCGGGAGGCAGAGGUUGCAGUGAGCGGAGAUUGCGCCACUGCACUCCAGCCUGGGUGACAGAUUGAGACUCUAUCUCAAAAAAAAAAAAAAUUGGUGAAAUGUUCAGUUAUCCUUGCUUCAAGUAUUUCUUUUGUCCUCUUUUCUCCUUCAGCUAUUCCCAUUAUGCAUAUAAUAUAGCUUUUAUAGUUGUCUCACAGUACUUGGAUAUUCUUUCUCAUGUUUUUUCAGUCUUUUCUCUCUUUGCUUUUCAGUUUUGAAAGUUUCUACUAAUAUAUCUUCAGUCUCAGAGAUUCUUUCCUCAUCUGUGUCCAAUGUACUAAUGAGUCCAUUAAAAGCAUUCUUCAUUUCUAUUACAGUAUUUUUUAUCUCUAUCAUUAAAAAAAAAUUCUUUCUUAGAAUUUUUGUCUCUGUGGUUACACUGUCUAUAUGUGCUUGCAUGUUAUCUACUUUUUCCAUCAGAGCCCCUAACAUUAAUUAUAGUUGUUUUAAAUUUUUAGUCUGAUAAUCUCAACAUUCCUGUCGUAUCCCAGCCUGGUUCUGACGCUUGCUCUUUUUCUUCAAAGUGUGUGUUUUGCCUUUAAUAUGUGUUGUAAUUUCCCAUUGAAAGCCACACAUGGUAUACUGGUGUUGGGGCUCAGAAACCGAUACAACAAAAUAUGGUGCUUUGACAUGCCAAACUGAAGAAGAAGCCUCAAGGUCUCUCUGACCUUCCCUCAUCUCCUGUCUCUCAGUCCUCCCGUCCCUCCCAAAGCACAUGAUAAAGUUGUUUUCUGAAGUUCCCCUAUCUGCCUAAAGUCCAGUUCCGCCAAAGAAGAAAACAAUUACCUCUAGUCCCUUCUUUGAGUUUUCAUUAACUGAAUUCAUGUCACAGGAAGAAAGACCCAAGUCUGUCAACAAAUCCAGACAGACUUUUUUUUUUUUUGAGACAGAGUCUCACUCUGUCGUCCAGGCUGGAGUGCAAUGGCGUGAUCUUGGCUCACUGCAACCUCUGCCUCCGGGUUCAAGCGGUUCUGCCUCAGCCUCCCCAGUAGCUGGGACUAUAGGCUCUCACCACCACGCCUAGCUAAUUUUUGUAUUUUUAGUAGAGAUGGGCUUUCACCAUGUUGACCAGGAUGGUUAGACAGACUUUUGUCACAAACCAUUGUCUGCUCCGCAGGCCCAACAGACUUUGUUCAAGGAAAUUGUAUGUUCUUCAAGCCCAUUGAAUUCUCCUAAAACUCAUUUCCUAUCCCCUAAAAUCAUUAUAGUUUCCCAUCUUCCUUUCCCCUAAGAAGAAGGGUAUAUAGUGCUCGCUUUGGCAGCACAUAUACUAAAAUUGGAACGAUACAGAGAAGAUUAGUCUGGCCUCUGCGCAAGGAUGAUAUGCAGAUUCGUAAAGCAUUCCAUUUUUUUUAAUUUAAAAAAUUUAUAAAAGUUUUAAAAAAAGAAGGGUACCAUCUUACUCCAUUGGGAUAUUGGGUAAUCACUCUGUGAUUCUCCCCUGUGCAUGCUAAUAAAUUUGUACGCCAUUUCUCCUACUAAUUUGCCUUUUGUAAGUUGAUUUUUUUUUUUUUAAAAGACAGAGUCUUGCUGUUGUCGCCCAGGCUGGAGUGCAAUGGCGCAAUCUUGGCUCACUGCAACCUCCGCCUCCUGGGUUUAAAUGAUUCUCCUGCCUCUGCCUCCCAAGUAGCUGAGAUUAUAGGCGCCCGCCACCAUGCCCAGCUAAUUUUUGUGUUUUCAGUAGAGACGGGGUUUCUCCAUGUUGGCCAGACUGGUCUCGAACUCCUGACCUCAGGUGAUUCACCCACCUUGGCCUCCCAAAGUGCUGGGAUUACAGGUGUGAGCCACCAAGUCCAGCCUGUAAAUUGAUUUUUUAGUGAAACUUCAGAGAGUGAAGGGAAAGUUUUCCCAUAGCUCCUACACUGGGUAAAAGGAAUUCCCGUAAAAUAGGCCUUUAGUCAUGUGGUGGAGGAGGUGUGGGGCAGGGGUGGCGUUCCACAGUCCUGUGAUUAGCUCUCACUCUUUUCAUGAGCCUGGGAACCCUCCUGGGCUGUGAAGUUCACCAGUGCUUCUCCAUUUUUUUCUCCCCUUAGGUGGGACAGAGAUGGGAGUGGAAUUGGCUAUUUCCCCUCCCUCAGGUCAGCUAGGCUCUGAUAAAGCUCCAGAAGAUUGGGCUGGGCUAAAAUAGUUUCUCUUGAGAAGCAGGCCUUGUUAAGAACAGAAUGCUCUGGCAUAUUUCAAAAUGGUUACUUUUCCCAUCCCCCUGCUGAAAGCACAAGGAGAUUUUUCUCUGACAUUCACUGGGAGGACUCGAUAGAGAUCCUGAAGAUUAAACUCACAAACAUGUGGGGACGCCCCUAUGGCUGGCUCUUGCUGGAAUGUUUAAUGUUCAGAUUUGCCCACGCUGAGCCUCCAGCUAUUCUUCAAUUACAGGUUAGGUUGUCCUGUCCUGGUACCGGUUCUAGAGCAGGUUUCUACUUGGGGGUUUCUCCUUCUCUGUCUCUUCAAUUUUGAGGGCAGUGAUUUGCCCUGUGACCUGACUCCUCUAAAGGAUCUAAGAAGAAUUGUUGAUUUUCCAGUUUGCUAAACUUUUUACUUAUUAUUAGGACAGAGAGACAACGUCCAAGCCCCUUACAUGCCUGACUGGACACUAGACGUCUCACUACCAUGUAUUGAACACCCAGGUGGAAGUAAGCACUUUUUACAUAUUAUCUCAUUUAAUCCUCACAUUCACCCUGUGAAGUAAUACCACUACCCCAUGUUGUAGAGGUGAUUCUUAUGGCUCAGCAAGAAUUUAGUGACUCCCUCAAGGUCACACAGUUAGAAAGUAGGAUUUGAGCCGGGCGCGGUGGCUCAUGCCUGUAAUCCCAGCACUUUGGGAGACUGAGGCAGGCGGAUCACGAGGUCAGGAGAUCAAGACCAUCCUGGCUAACGUGGUGAGACCCCGUCUCUACUAAAAAUACAAAAAAUUAGCCAGGCGUGUUGGUGGGUGCCUGUAGUCCCAGCUACUGGGGAGGCUGAGACAGGAUAAUGGCGUGAACCCGGGAGGCAGAGCUUGCAGCGAGCUGAGAUCACGCCACUGCACUCCAUCCUGGGCGAUAGCGAGACUCCGUCUCAAAAAAAAAAAAAAAAAAAGAAAGUAGGAUUUGAACCUCAGUCUGUCUGUUAACAAAGUCAGUGUGUGUCCCGCGCACCAUGCCAUGCCCCAGAACUAAGCAGAUUCGGAUUAGGUCUUCAGACCCAGAGGCAGACAAAAGCCAGAAACAGAGACAGGAGCCCAGGCCAAAAUAGAGGAUGGGACCCAGAGCCUCCGAAAGUUCCCAGGAUGUAUGUUUGACAGACCAUCCCCCAGGUCUCCAGAGGUAAGUGUUGAAUCCCCCUUUUUCCCCUUUCCAGCUGCGUCACUUGGGUGAGCAGCUUUACCUCUUCUAGCCUCAAUUUUUUGGUAGGUAGCUCAGGGCCUGGCAAAUAGUAACUGCUCGAAAAAUGGAAGUUUGUCAUUGUUGUUGCUAGGUAGUGGCUAAUGUUACCAGCUGGGAGGCCGUAAGUGCUAAUCCCCUCCAGCUCUGGCCAGGUGAGGUCAGUAACUGGAGAUGAGGUCAGAGCCCUUAGAGGAAGGCACCCUGACCCCAGCUGGGCUGGCUGGAGAGGUGGCAGCAUUGGAACCUCGGUGAAGAAGCAUUCUGUUGACAGUUAUAAUGAGAUAUGCCAGCUCUAGUUUCCCAUGGGCACACCAGUUACCUCCUCUCCCUGGUAACUGACCCAGUUGGCACCCAGUGCCUGAGAGCUUGACGGCACAGUAGGAUCAGUCUUUCUCUGGGGGCAGGUGUGCCAGCUGGUAUAAAGGAAGAAAAGCCUCCCCGCUCCAGUGCAGAGCCAGCUCUGACACUUCCUGACCAACUCCAAUGCCAACUCUGACACCGCAAACUUCUGCUUUUUCAGAACGGAGUCACAGAGACUAGAUUUACCCUCCCUUCUGAAAUGCCUUAAAAUACAAAACCAAACAGACAGACACACACACACACAAAAUGGCACUCAAGACACUAUCUAUACAUUAGAUAAUGGCAAACAGUGAUCAAUGAGAGAAACGAAGAAAUACAGGUUAGUCCUACUGACUUGUCACCUGGAGAAAAUUCCCAUGCCAUGGCUCCCCUCAUUAACAAGACAUGUCCAGGGGCCUGGGGGAAGCCAAAGAGGCUGAAGUUUGUAAGGCAGAGCACUGGAGAGAGGAGAACUACAGAGAAAGAGCACUGGAGACACUCAGAGGGUCCCCCUUAACUAUUCAGUUGAGUAUAUAUAUAUAUAUUUUUUUGAGACGGAGUUUCGCUCUUGUUGCCCAGGCUGGAGUGCAUUGGCGCGAUCUCGGCUCACCACAACCUCCGCCUCCCGGGUUCAAGCAAUUCUCCUGCCUCAGCCUCCCGACUACUAGGGAGGCUGAGGCACAAGAAUGGCUUGAACCUGGGAGGCGAAGGUUGCAGUGAACCAAGAUCGCGCCACUGUACUCCAGCCUGGGCAACAGAGCAAGACAGAGACUCCAUCUCAAAAUAAAUAAAUAGAAGGCUCUCCAGGACAUUUUGAUGCCCACUGGGAUAUGGGAACUCCUGCCAUGGGGAGGAGGGCGUCUUUAAGAAGGAAUAGGCCCUAUUGAGAUGCCAGCUGUAGACCUCUAGGAGUUGACCAUCGAGCCUGAGAAGGUAAGGAGAGGGUGUAGGAGACCCCUGACUCUGACCUCCACCCUCUCAUUCCUCUCCAGGGCAGUCCCGCACUCUGAUGGCCACAUCUGGUGCCAGGUAGUUUCUCGUAAAGAUCUACACUCACAUUACAACCUAGACAUCCCACUAGUAGGUAUUUACCCAAGACACCUGAAAGCAUGUGUGUACCCAAAGACUCGUAAAUGAAUGCAACUCUAUAUGUAAUAGCCAAAAUUAGAAACAAUCCAAAUGUUCAUCAGCAGGUGAGUGGUAAAACAAGUUGUGAUAUGUUCAUACAAUGUUGCUACUCAGUAAUAAAAAGAAAUGAGCUACAGAUACAGAUAAGGAAACUUGGAGGUGAUAUGUUCAUAAUCUUGUUUGGGUCAAAGGUUUCAGGGAUGUAUACAUGUGUCAAAACAUAUCAAACCGUAUAAUUUAAAUACGUGCUGCUUAUUGUAUGUCAAUUAUAUCUCAAUAAAGCUGUUAUAAAAAUCUGAUGCCAGUUCUGUGCACCCACGGCCAGUGACAAUCCCAAGGCCACAUUGAAUGAUUACUGUGCAUGAGGUACUGUGUGCUGAGCACUCUAUGGAGAUUUUUCCUUUAACCUUCACAAUAGCCUUAGGAGGUGGCACUAUUAUUAUUAAUACCUCUGUUUACAUAGGCAGAAAGGAAAGCUCAGAAAGGUUAAAUCACUUCUCCAAGGAAAUGUCACCUGACUGAAUUCCAGCCCCAGCUUUACCCCUAACCUAAUCCAAGCUGUGUUCUAAUUUGUUUUUAUGAUUAUACAAGCAUUGUAAUCAUUAUGGAAAGCAAAAGAAAACAUGUUUCAAUUGCUUUCAGCCAACCCCUGUACAUCAUUGAAUCCCUAUAUGUCUAGUGAUUUUUUUUUUUAUUUGAGAUGGACCUUCACUCUGUUGCCCAGGCUGGAGUGCAGUAGCGCAAUCACUCUGUUGCCCAGGCUGGAGUGCAGUGGCGCGAUCUCGGCUCACUGCAACCUCUGCCUUCCGGGUUCAAGUGAUUCUCCUGCCUCAGCCUCCUGAGUAGCUGGGAUUACAGGCACACGCCACCACGC